AACCAGAUGGGAAGUAAUUGCUGCUAUAUUGUCAAAUACCACGAUAUUUUUGCAGUCUGCGCAUGGACAACAUAUGUGCUUUGCCCUUGUUCUGCGAGCAUGUAUCUUUGCGACAUCAAUAAAUUUUUGGACCUCCACUAUAUGAUGGGUCCAAUCUUGAUAAGUUGUACAUCCAUAAUGACCUCUCCAUAUUUAGCUGUAAUUAGUUAAGAACAAUCAAUGUAGGUCAAUCUAAAAACAAAACUAAUAUAACCCCCGAAAACAGACUUAACUAAGAUACUAACCUCCUUCUAUUAAACACCUCCUUCUAUUAAACAGAGAUGAAAACUGUAACACCUAAAAUUUGAUUUCCAAUUAAUAGGAUUUAAUUUGAUUUAUUUAAAUAUUUUUGUGAACAUUUAAAUUAGUAAAUAAAUAAAUUUCGUUGAAAUUAAAAUUCAUUAUAAGUUUAGUAAACUUGAUUGUGCAUUCAUGCUGAAGGAUAUUUUAUUUUUGUGCUAAUUUCUUUUGGUUGGAAUUUGGUUGCUCUCAAAAUUCUAUUUAAAAAGGCUUUAGAAAAAAAUAAUAAAAAAAGAAAAGGACAAUGCUCACCUGCUCUCGGCCUGGCAGCCCAGCUACUGGCCCGCUCAGCCGGUAGAGCCGCGGCCCAGGCGCAUGCAACCGCCUUUCCCCCUCCCUCUCACUGCCAUCGCGACCCGCUAGUCAGCACCCCCCCCCUCCUUCUUCCAGGAACCGAGACCGAGCGGGACUCCACCAAAGGCGGAAGCCAAAUCCCGUAUCCCUCGGGAUUCCUUGCCAAUACGUGCAAACAAGCACCCUAUAAGGCUCACCGCACCCGCCUGCGCGCUCUUUUCCUUACCCGAACGUUUUACUAAGCCCUAGCCGCCUCGAGUUUUGAGCUUGGAUCUUGCCGACUUCGGCCUCCGCCGCGACGCGCGCCUGGCUCUCUCUACUCCUCUUCGGCUCGAAUAGUUCGUCAAGGUGGGUUCGCGAGGUGCUCCUCUGUCUCCCCGUGCUCUCAACUUAGUUUUUGGCGCAAAUCUCGUGAAAACAAAGGACACCGGCGAGCUCCGAAGCGGCGUUCAUGGCGCCACCGCGCCGAAAGCCAACUCCGGCGGCCGGAUCCGCCACCUGCGGCUCCUGGGUCAAUCUCGGCCGUCGAUUCGCAGAUCAACGCAUGCGAAUAGAAGAUAACGGUUCAGCGUGGUUUUUAUUAAAGAG
rnacentral:lncRNA from 1 species